rnacentral:rRNA from 1 species
CCCCUCGGGGGACAGGGUGACAGGUGGUGCAUGGGUUGUCGUCAGCUCGUGUCGUGAGAUGUUGGGGUUAAGUCCCGGCAACCGAGCGCAACCCUCGCCUCUAGUUGCCAGCAUUCGGUUGGGCACUCUAGAGGGACUGCCGGCGACAAGUCGGAGGAAGUGGGAUGACGUCAAUCAUCAUGCCCCUUAUGACCUGAGCUACACACGUGCUACAAUGGGCGGUACAAAGGGCUGCGAACCCGCGAGGGGGAGCGAAUCCCAAAAAGCCGCUCUCAGUUCGGAUUGCAGGCUGCAACUCGCCUGCAUGAAGCCGGAAUCGCUAGUAAUCGCGGAUCAGCAUGCCGCGGUGAAUACGUUCCCGGGCCUU